rnacentral:lncRNA from 1 species
AUAAAUGAGUAUUCUUUAAGAAUUUUUCAUCAAUAUGUUGUAUUUUAAAAUAAUUUUCUUAAAAGCUGCUUUUUUGGAAAGUUUUCAUUUUUUUUGAGAAAUACUGUAGAUUUAGGUUUUUGAUUUAGAAAUUAUUAUAACAAGAAUAUUUGUGGAUAUAUGAGUAUUCUUUAAGAAUUUUUCAUCAGUAUAUUGUAUUUUUAAAUAAUUUUCUUAAAAGUGGCUAUUUUUGGAAAGUUUUCAUUUUUUUUAACGAUAUUUUAUAGAUUUGAGUUUGUGAUUUAGAAAUUAGGAUCACAAGAAUAUUUGUGGAUAGUUGAGUAUUCUUUCAAAGUUUUCUAUCAAUAGGUUGUAUUUUUAAAUAAUUUUCUUAAAAACUGCUAUUUUAGGAAAGUUUUCAUUUUUUAGAGAAAUAUUGUGGAUAUAGGUUUGUGAUUUAGAAAUUAGGACAACAAGAAUAUUUGUGGAUAGAUGAGUAUUCUUUAAGAAUUUUUCAUCAAUAUAUUGUAUUUUUAAAUAAUUUUCUUAAAAACUGCUAUUUUAGGAAAGUUUUCAUUUUUUAGAGAAAUAUUGUGGAUAUAGGUUUGUGAUUUAGAAAUUAGGACAACAAGAAUAUUUGUGGAUAGAUGAGUAUUCUUUAAGAAUUUUUCAUCAAUAUAUUGUAUUUUUAAAUAAUUUUCUUAAAAACUGCUAUUUUAGGAAAGUUUUCAUUUUUUAGAGAAAUAUUGUGGAUAUAGGUUUGUGAUUUAGAAAUUAGGACAACAAGAAUAUUUGUGGAUAGAUGAGUAUUCUUUAAGAAUUUUUCAUCAAUAUAUUGUAUUUUUAAAUAAUUUUCUUAAAAACUGCUAUUUUAGGAAAGUUUUCAUUUUUUAGAGAAAUAUUGUGGAUAUAGGUUUGUGAUUUAGAAAUUAGGACAACAAGAAUAUUUGUGGAUAGAUGAGUAUUCUUUAAGAAUUUUUCAUCAAUAUAUUGUAUUUUUAAAUAAUUUUCUUAAAAACUGCUAUUUUAGGAAAGUUUUCAUUUUUUAGAGAAAUAUUGUGGAUAUAGGUUUGUGAUUUAGAAAUUAGGACAACAAGAAUAUUUGUGGAUAGAUGAGUAUUCUUUAAGAAUUUUUCAUCAAUAUAUUGUAUUUUUAAAUAAUUUUCUUAAAAACUGCUAUUUUAGGAAAGUUUUCAUUUUUUAGAGAAAUAUUGUGGAUAUAGGUUUGUGAUUUAGAAAUUAGGACAACAAGAAUAUUUGUGGAUAGAUGAGUAUUCUUUCAGAAUUUUUCCUCAAGAUGUUGUUUUAUUAAAUAAUUUUUUUAAAAGCUCCUAUUUUUGGAAAGUUUUCAUUUUUAAGAAAAAUAUUGUAGGUUUUUGUUUUUGAUUUAGAAAUUAGUAUAAUAAGAAUAUUUGUGGAUAGACAAGUAUUCUUUAAAAAAAUUUCAUCAAUAUAUUGUAUUUUUAAAUAAUUUUCUUAAAAGCUCCUAUUUUUAGAAAGUUUUCAUUUUUUAGAGAAAUAUUGUAGAUUUGAGUUUGUGAUUUAGAAAUUAGGAUAAGAAGAAUAUUUGUGGAUAUAUGAGUAUUCUUUAAGAAUUUUUUAUCAGUAUAUUGUAUUUUUAAAUAAUUUUCUUAAAAGUGGCUAUUUUUGGAAAGUUUUCAUUUUUUUUAACGAUAUUUUAUAGAUUUGAGUUUGUGAUUUAGAAAUUAGGAUCACAAGAAUAUUUGUGGAUAGAUGAGUAUUCUUUCAGAUUUUUUCAUCAAUAUAUUGUAUUUUAAAAUAAUUUUCUUAAAAGAUACUAUUUUUGGAAAGUUUUCUUUUUUUAGAGAAAUACUGUGGAUAUAGGUUUGUGAUUUAUAAAUUAGGACACCAAGAAUAUUUGUGGAUAGAUGAAUAUUCUGUAAGAAAUUUUCAUCAAUAUGUUGUAUUUUAAAAUAAUUUUCUUAAAAAUUGCUAUUUUUGGAAAGUUUUCAUUUUUUUAAAAAUAAUAGGUUGUAUUUUUAAAUAUUUUUAUUAAAAACUACUAUUUUUGGGACGUUUUCAUUUAUUAGAGAAAUACUGUAGAUUUGAGUUGAUGAUUUAGAAGUUAGGAUAACAAGAAUAUUUGUGGAUACAUACGUGGAACCAAGCUCCUUUUCUUGACCACUUGCCAUCCACAGACUGAGGAUAACAAGAAUAUUUGUGGAUACAUGAGUAUUCUUUCAGAAUUUUUCAUUAAGAUGUUGUAUUAUUAAAUAAUUUUCUAAAAAGCUGCUAUUUUUGGAAAGUUUUCAUUUUUAAGAGAAGUAUUGUAGAUUUGAGUUUGUGAUUAAGAAAUUAUGAUAACAAGAAUAUUUGUGGAUAGAUAUGUAUUCUUUCAAAAAAUUUCAUCAAUAUGUUGUAUUUUAAAAUAAUUUUCUUAAAAGCUCCUAUUUUUGUAAAGUUUUCAUUUUUUUUUGAGAAAUACUAUAGAUUUGAGUUUGUGAUUUAGAAAUUAGGAUAACAAAAAUAUUUGUGGAUAUAUGAGUAUUCUUUCAUAAUUUUUCAUCCAUAUGUUGUAUUAUUAAAUAAUUUUCUUAAAAGCUGCUAUUUUUGGAAAGUUAAAGGGGCGCACAGAAGUUAUCUUCCAACCAGGCGACUGGGUGUGGCUGAGAAGUAUUGUAGAUUUGAGUUUGUGAUUUAGAAAUUGUUACAACAAGAAUAUUUGUGGAUAGAUAAGUAUUCUUUCAUAAUUUUUCAUCAAUAUAUUGUAUUUUUAAAUAAUUUUCGUAAAAGCUGCUAUUUUUGGAAAGUUUUCAUUUUUUUAAGAAAUACUGUGGAUUUAGGUUUGUGAUUUAGAAAUUAGGACAACAAGAAUAUUUGUGGAUAGAUGAGUAUUCUUUAAGAAUUUUUCAUCAAUAAAUACAUUGUAUUAUUAAAUAAUUUUCUGAAAUUUUUUUAUUUUUGGAAAGUUUUCAUUUUUUUUUUAAAUACUGUAGAUUUUGGUUUGUGAUUUAGAAAUUAGGAUAACAAAAAUAUAUGUGGAUAGAUGAGUAUUCUUUCAGAUUUUUUCAUCAAUAUAUUGUAUUUUUAAAUAAUUUUCUUAAAAGCUGCUUUUUUUGGAAAGUUUUCAUUUUUUUUGAGAAAUACUGUAGAUUUAGGUUUUUGAUUUAGAAAUUAUUAUAACAAGAAUAUUUGUGGAUAUAUGAGUAUUCUUUAAGAAUUUUUCAUCAGUAUAUUGUGGAUAUAGGUUUGUGAUUUAGAAAUUAGGACACCAAGAAUAUUUGUGGAUAGAUGAGUAUUCUUUAAGAGUGUUCCUUUAAUAGGUUGUAUUUUUAAAUAUUUUUAUUAAAAACUGCAAUUUUUGGGAAGUUUUCAUUUAUUAGAGAAAUACUGUAGAUUUGAGUUGAUGAUUUAGAAGUUAAGAUAACAAGAAUAUUUGUGGAUAGAUGAGUAUUCUUUAAGAAUUUUUCAUCAAUGUGUUGUAUUUUAAAAUAAUUUUCUUAAAAGCUGCAAUUUUUGGAAAGUUUUCAUUUGAAAACUCACUAAAGGUUCCUAUCUGUUUCAGGAUCGAUCACAAGCAAGAGACGAGCCGGCCGGUACCAUCCAUCCGAGGCAAGGUUGAACCGCAGAAUGGCCAUCCGUCCGUCCAUCCGUUCGACCCUCCGACCCGUGCCUACAACAAUUCCUCUAUCAUCUGGGCAUCUUGUUUUGAUCCAUCUUAGGUUCUGAUGUGGAAUGUUUGGCGGAAAUGACUAGGAAGUACAAAAUAUUAUUGGUUAUGGGUGUGAUAGAGAGGGAAGGCUAUACGUUACAUUGCACCGUCUUUUUUUUUACUGACAAGGUCAAUUUUUUGGUAAUCACAUGAAACUCAUGCCUACAACUCUUGAACGUUGCAUCGGGGGUUUGAAGUAGACGUCGUGAAGCGGUGGAUGUUUCACUUUGGAGAUUCAAAGGAGACAAAUUCAAAAACACGUUUAUUACAAAAGAAAUAUACAAUAUGCUGAGGCAAGAGGAUGAGCAGCUAGAAUGGGCGAAGGAUAUUUGGUUUUCACAUAGAACACCAAAAUAUACUUUUCUCACUUGGCUACCAAUGAAAAAUAGGCUUUCCACUGGUGAUCGCAUUGAAAGUUGGCAAACAGGACAGAGAGUGGAUUGUGUUCUGUGUGGUCAUCGCUGCAAUUUUUGGAAAGUUUUCAUUUUUUUAGAGAUAUUUUAUAGAUUUGUGUUUGUGAAUUAGAAAUUAGGAUAACAAGAAAAUAAAAACGCUUAUACCUUCAAAUGAAAUAAUCAAAUAUAGAAUUAAAAUCAAAGCUCGAAAUUUUGAAAAUAAAAAUAAAAAACAAAAGAGAAGUAUGAAAGAAAAUGUUUCCACUCUUCCAUAUUCAGUGUUCAUCAAAGUCAUGCAUCGUCGAGAAAUAUUGUAGAUUUGAGUUUGUGAUUAAGAAAUUAGGAUAAGAAGAAUAUUUGUGGAUAGAUGAGUAUUCUUUCUGUGUGGUCAUCCUCAGGAAACACACAAUCACUUGUUCUUUGAAUGUGGGUACUCUUCAAGUUUAUGGCAUUCACUAAUGUUUGUGUUCCUGUGCAGUAAUGGUAUGGGAUGAGCUUCUCCCGCUUCUGCAUUUCAGGGAGUAUAAUAGUCUGCAACUUUUGAUACUUAGUUAUACCUUCCAAGCGACUAUAUAUCAUCUUUGGCGGGAAAGAAAUAAUAGGAGGCAUGGGGAGAAAGCAAUGCCAUGGACUCGAUUAGCUCUUCUUGUUGACAAGACAAUUCAGAACAAGCUAACUACUCUUCGUGAGCAAGAGCAGGUGAAGUAUGAAGGCGGCCUCAGGUUGUGGUUUGCAACUCGUCAAGUUUAACAGUAAUUUUCUUUAAAACUUUGAUUUUUGGAAAGUUUUCAUUUUUUUUUUGAAAUACUGUAAAUUUGGUUGUGAUUUAGAAAUUAGGAAAAUAAGAAUAUUUGUGGAUAGAUGAGUAUUCUUUAAGAAUUUUUCAUCAACAUGUUGUAUUUUAAAAUAAUUUUCUUAAAAGCUGCUAUUUUUUUUAAGUUUUCAUUUUUUUUUUGAGAAAUACUGUAGAUUUGAGUUUGUGAUUUAGAAAUUAGGAUAACAAAAAUAUUUGUGGAUAACAAAAUUCUUUCAGAAUUUUUCAUCAAGAUGUUGUAUUAUUAAAUAAUUUUCUUAAAAGAUGCUAUUUUUGGAAAGUUUUCUUUUUUAAGAGAAAUAUUGUAGAUUUGAGUUUGUGAUUUAGAAAUUAGGAUAACAAGAAUAUUUGUGGAUAGAUAAGUAUUAUUUCAUAAUUUUUCAUCAACAUAUUGUAUUUCUAAAUAAUUUUCUUAAAAAGUGCUAUUUUUGGAAAUUUUUCAUUUUUUUGAGAAAUACUGUGGAUUUAGGUUUAUGAUUUAGAAACUAGGACAACAAGAAUAUUUGUGGAUAGAUGAGUAUUCUUUAAGAAUUUUUGGUAACAAAAUGUUUAGAUUUGAUUUGAUCGUUUGAUAGAGAAUAUCAUGUUGUAAACAGAAGUAUUUUGGUUUUGAAUUAAUUUAACAUUUAUUCAAAAAAAAGUUAUAUAAAUUCUUAUGAAUGGUAUAAAACUCCCUUAUAAAUGGUAAAUAAACAUUUAUAAAUAAUUUAUAAACUCUUAUAAAUUAUUUACAAGUCCUUACAAAUGAUUUAUAAACUUUUAUAAAUAAUUUACAAACUACUCUUAAAUGAUUCAUAGACCCUUAUAAAUGAUUUAUUAACCAUUACAAAUGAUUUAUAAGUUUCUAUAAACGAUCCACAAACCCUUAUAAAUGAUUUAUAGAGCUUUAAAAAUAAUUUAUGAACCAUAUAAAUAGUUUGUAUAAUAUUAUAAAUUGUUUAUAUAAUUUUAUAAAUGAUUUAUAAACCUUUAAAUAUAGGCUCUAAUCGGUAAUCAUUAAAAUCUAAAUAAAAAAGAGUAAGAAAAUAAUGAAUAGAAACAAAAUAAAAGGAAUGAAAAAAAUAUUUAUUAUUUUUGUUCCAUAUCAAUUUUGAUGCCAAAUGUUUUUGUUCUAUAGUUCCUUAAAAUUUAAGGAGUGACGAAGAAUUAGACACAACAAAAGUUCUUCAAAAAUGGUGUAACUCUUAAAGAACGAGUAGGAAUGAUUAUUCCCCUUAGUUCCAUAUUCACCCUUUAUACCCAUAGGUUACAUAUAUUGUAUUUUUAAAUAAUUUUUUUAAAAGCUCAUAUUUUUGGAAAGUUUUCAUUUUAAGAGAAAUAUUGUAGAUUUGAGUUUGUGAUUUAGAAAUUAGAAUAACAAGAACAUUUGUGGAUAGAUGAUAAUUCUUUAAGAAUUUUUCAUCAAUAUAUUGUAUUUUUAAAUAAUUUUCUUAAAAGCUGCUAUUUUGGGAAAAUUUUCAUUUUUUUUAGAAAUACUGUAGAUUUGAGUUUUUGAUUUAGAAAUUAGGAUAACAAGAAUAUUUGUAGAUAGAUAAGUAUUCUUUCAUUAUUUUUCAUCAAUAUAUUGUAUUUUUAAAUAAUUUUCUUAAAAGCUGCUAUUUUUGGAAAGUUUUCAUUUUUUUUUAGAAAUACUGUAUAUUUGAGUUUGUGAUUUAGAUAUUAGGAUAACAAGAAUAUUUGUGGAUAGAUGAAUAUUCUUUCAGAAUUUUCAUCAAGAUGUUGUAUUAUUAAAUGAUUUUCUGAAAAGCUGUUAUUUUUGGAAAGUAUUCAUUUUUUAGAGAAAUAUUGUGGAUAUAGGUUUGUAAUUUAGAAAUUAGGACAACAAGAAUAUUUCUGAAAAGCUGUUAAUCAAUAUAUUGUAUUUUAAAUAAUUUUCUUAAAAUAUGCUAUUUUUUUAUUGUUUUCAUUUUUUAAAAAGAUAUUUUAUAGAUUUAAGUUUGUGAUUUAGAAAUUAGGAUAACAAGAAUAUUUGUGGAUAGUUGAGUAUUCUUUCAGAGUUUUCCAUCAAUAGGUUGUAUUUUUAAAAUUUUUCUUAAAAACUACUAUUUUUGGAAAGUUUUCAUUUAUUAGAAAAAUACUGUAGAUUUGAGUUUAUGAUUUAAAAAUUAUGAUAACAAGAAUAUUUGCAAAUAGCUGAUUAUUUUUUUUCAGAGUUUUUCAUUAAUAGGUUGUAUUUUAAAAUAAUUUUCUUAAAAACGAGUAUUUUUGGAAAGUUUUCAUUUUUUUGAGAAAUACUGUAGAUUUGGGUUUCUCAUUUAGAAAUUAGGAUAACAAGAAUAUUUGUGUAUAGAUGAGUUUUCUUUAAGAAUUUUUCAUUAAUAUGUUGUAUUUUAAAAUUAUUUUCUUAAAAGCUGCUAUUUUUGGAAAGUUUUCAGCUUUUUAGAGAAAUAAUGUAGAUUUGAGUUUGUGAUUUAGAAAUUAGGAUAAAAGGAAUAUUUGUGGAUAGAUGAGUAUUUUUUAAGAAAUUUUCAUCCAUAUAUUGUAUUUUUAAAUAAUUUUCUUAAAUGCUGCUAUUUUUGGAAAGUUUUCAUUUAUUAGAAAAAUACUGUAGAUUUGAGUUUGUGAUUUAGAAAUUAGGAUAAAAGGAAUAUUUGUGGAUAGAUGAGUAUUUUUUAAGAAAUUUUCAUCCAUAUAUUGUAUUUUUAAAUAAUUUUCUUAAAUGCUGCUAUUUUUGGAAAGUUUUCAUUUAUUAGAAAAAUACUGUAGAUUUGAGUUUGUGAUUUAGAAAUUAGGAUAAAAGGAAUAUUUGUGGAUAGAUGAGUAUUUUUUAAGAAAUUUUCAUCCAUAUAUUGUAUUUUUAAAUAAUUUUCUUAAAUGCUGCUAUUUUUGGAAAGUUUUCAUUUAUUAGAAAAAUACUGUAGAUUUGAGUUUGUGAUUUAGAAAUUAGGAUAAAAGGAAUAUUUGUGGAUAGAUGAGUAUUUUUUAAGAAAUUUUCAUCCAUAUAUUGUAUUUUUAAAUCAUUUUCUUAAAUGCUGCUAUUUUUGGAAAGUUUUUUUUUUUUUGAGAAAUACGGUAAAUUUGAGUUUCUAAAUUAGAAAUUAGGAUAACAAGAAUAUUUUUGGAUAGAUGAGUAUUCUUUUUGAGUUUUUCAUCAAUACAUUGUAUUUUUAAAUAAUUUUCUUAAAAACUGCUAUUUUUGGAAAGUUUUUUUUUUUUUGAGAAAUACGGUAAAUUUGAGUUUCUAAAUUAGAAAUUAGGAUAACAAGAAUAUUUUUGGAUAGAUGAGUAUUCUUUUUGAGUUUUUCAUCAAUACAUUGUAUUUUUAAAUAAUUUUCUUAAAAACUACUAUUUUUGGAAAGUUUUCAUUUUUUUUGAAAAAUUACUGUAGAUUAGGGUUUGUGAUUUAGAAAUUAGGAUAACAAGAAUAUUUGUGGAUAGAUGAAUAUUAUUUAUGAGUUUUGCAUCAAUAGAUUGUAUUUUUAAAUAAAUUUUUU